GGAAGACUGGCCUUGUGGUUAAGACAGUAGACUGGCAUUCAGUAGAUCUGGGUUCAAUUUCCAGCUCUGCCA
rnacentral:tRNA from 1 species